rnacentral:rRNA from 1 species
UACGAAGGGGGCUAGCGUUGUUCGGAAUUACUGGGCGUAAAGCGCACGUAGGCGGAUAUUUAAGUCAGGGGUGAAAUCCCAGAGCUUAACUCUGGAACUGCCUUUGAUACUGGGUAUCUUGAGUAUGGAAGAGGUAAGUGGAAUUCCGAGUGUAGAGGUGAAAUUCGUAGAUAUUCGGAGGAACACCAGUGGCGAAGGCGGCUUACUGGUCCAUUACUGACGCUGAGGUGCGAAAGCGUGGGGAGCAAACAGG